CCGUUCCCAUCCCGAACACGGCAGUUAAGCUCCUCAGCCCCGAUGGUACUGCGCGCGCAAGUGCGUGGGAGAGUAGGACGUUGCCCGGA
rnacentral:rRNA from 1 species